CCUACGGGUGGCAGCAGUGAGGAAUAUUGGUCAAUGGGCGGGAGCCUGAACCAGCCAAGUCGCGUGAAGGAAGAAGGCGCCAGGCGUCGUAAACUUCUUUUGUCGAGGCACAAAGGGCGCCACGCGUGGCGUUGUGAGUGUACCCGAAGAAAAAGCAUCGGCUAACUCCGUGCCAGCAGCCGCGGUAAUACGGAGGAUGCGAGCGUUAUCCGGAUUUAUUGGGUUUAAAGGGUGCGUAGGCGGUCGGUAAAGUCAGUGGUAAAAGACCGGGGCUCAACCCCGGAGCGCCGUUGAAACUGUCGGCCUAGAGACGGCGUGAGGUACGCGGAAUGCGUGGUGUAGCGGUGAAAUGCAUAGAUAUCGCGCAGAACUCCGAUUGCGAAGGCAGCGUACCGGCGCCGCACUGACGUUGAGGCACGAAAGUGUGGGUAUCGAACAGGAUUAGAUACCCGUGUAGUC
rnacentral:rRNA from 1 species